UACGAAGGGGGCUAGCGUUGCUCGGAAUUACUGGGCGUAAAGGGCUCGUAGGCGGCCAACUAAGUCAGACGUGAAAUCCCUCGGCUUAACCGGGGAACUGCGUCUGAUACUGGAUGGCUCGAGUUUGGGAGAGGGAUGCGGAAUUCCAGGUGUAGCGGUGAAAUGCGUAGAUAUCUGGAGGAACACCGGUGGCGAAGGCGGCAUCCUGGACCAACACUGACGCUGAGGAGCGAAAGCCAGGGGAGCAAACGGG
rnacentral:rRNA from 1 species